AUUGAACGCUGGCGGCAGGCCUAACACAUGCAAGUCGAACGAGUGGCGGACGGGUGAGUAAUGUCUGGGAAACUGCCCGAUGGAGGGGGAUACCUACUGGAAAAGGUAGCUAAUACCGCAUACCAUCGGAUGUGCCCCGAGGGGAUUAGCUAGUGGGUGGGGUAAAGGCGCACCUAGGCGACGAUCCCUAGCUGGUCUGAGAGGAGGACCAGUCACACUGGAACUGAGACACGGACCAGACUCCUACGGGAGGCAGCAGUGGGGAAUAUUGCACAAUGGGCGCAAGCCUGAUGCAGCCAUGCCGCGUGUAUGAAGAAGGCCUUCGGGUUGUAAAGUACUUUCAGCGAGGAGGCGUUACCCGCAGAAGAAGCACCGGCUAACUCCGUGCCAGCAGCCGCGGUAAUUC
rnacentral:rRNA from 1 species